UUUGAUCUUGGUUCAGGAUGAACGCUGGCUACAGGCUUAACACAUGCAAGUCGAGGGGGUAGCAGGGUGGCAAUAUCGCUGACGACCGGCGCACGGGUGAGUAACACGUAUCCAACCUUCCCAUAACUCAGGGAUAGUCCUUUCGAAAGAAAGAUUUAAUACCUGAUAGUUACUUUUUCAAGGCAUCUUAGAAAAAGUUAAAGAUUUAUUGGUUAUGGAGUGGGGAUGCGUUCCAUUAGAUAGUUGGUGAGGUAACGGCUCACCAAGUCUUCGAUGGAUAGGGGUUCUGAGAGGAAGGUCCCCCACAUUGGUACUGAGACACGGACCAAACUCCUACGGGAGGCAGCAGUGAGGAAUAUUGGUCAAGUGGGCGAGAGCCUGAACCAGCCAAGUAGCGUGAAGGAAUGAAGGUCCUAUGGAUUGUAAACUUCUUUUAUAGUAGAAUAAAGUGAUCCACGUGUGGAUUUUUGUAUGUAUACUAUGAAUAAGGAUCGGCUAACUCCGUGCCAGCCGCGGC
rnacentral:rRNA from 1 species